GACGGAGGGUGCAAGCGUUGCUCGGAAUCAUUGGGCGUAAAGCGCGCGUAGGCGGCUCGGAAAGUCGGGCGUGAAAUGCCGGGGCUCAACCCCGGGACUGCGUCCGAUACUUCCGAGCUGGAGGUAGGUAGGGGAGAUCGGAAUUCCUGGUGUAGCGGUGAAAUGCGCAGAUAUCAGGAGGAACACCGGUGGCGAAGGCGGAUCUCUGGGCCUUACCUGACGCUGAGGCGCGAAAGCUAGGGGAGCGAACAGG
rnacentral:rRNA from 1 species